rnacentral:lncRNA from 1 species
UCCUUUCAAAGGCUGCUUAUGGAUUAGUGCUUUGGGCAGCUGCACAGAUAACCCACCUUUUGAUCUGGGUCCGCUUGGCACAAGAUACAAUAAAUGUCACGAUAAAUGUCAGCCAGGAUUACAAUGCUUCCUUCACAAACCUUAGCACAGACGGUUUCAAUAAAGAUUGCUUGAUUAACUUUUUUCUUCUAAUUCAAUGCCAUUUUAAUCAUGUGCCUACUUUUUGCUUAAAAGGGCUGUGAAUUUCAUUCUGAC